GAACCACAGUAAUUAUGUCGGAUGAGUGUGCGUAAAGUGGCCUAGCAGCUUGACUAACCUGGAAAAUCAGCAAGAGUUAGCCAUCUUGAGGAAGACACAAAAGGCUGAAGAAUGCCCAGCCCUCCAUGAGGAUGACGAGGACUGGAAGAUGUGUUUCAGCAGCAACCUGCCGGGCCAUCCUGUAAAUCCUUGUGUGCAGGACACUGUACUUAUGGAUGCCAGGAGAGCCAGCCCUGCCCAUCUCAGGCCAAGGUUUCCACUGUGCAGGUUCAAGUGAUUCUCCUGCCUCGGCCUCUGGAGUAGCUGGGAUUACAGACAUCUGCCACCACAGGCAGGUAAAUUUUAUAUUUUUAGACAAGGUUUUGCCAUGUUGGCCAGGCUGGUCUCAAAGUCC